rnacentral:rRNA from 1 species
ACACUCCUGCGGGAGGCAGCAGUGGGGAAUAUUGGACAAUGGGCGCAAGCCUGAUCCAGCCAUGCCGCGUGAGUGAUGAAGGCCCUAGGGUUGUAAAGCUCUUUCACCGGUGAAGAUAAUGACGGUAACCGGAGAAGAAGCCCCGGCUAACUUCGUGCCAGCAGCCGCGGUAAUACGAAGGGGGCUAGCGUUGUUCGGAUUUACUGGGCGUAAAGCGCACGUAGGCGGACUAUUAAGUCAGGGGUGAAAUCCCGGGGCUCAACCCCGGAACUGCCUUUGAUACUGGUAGUCUGGAGUUCGAGAGAGGUGAGUGGAAUUCCGAGUGUAGAGGUGAAAUUCGUAGAUAUUCGGAGGAACACCAGUGGCGAAGGCGGCUCACUGGCUCGAUACUGACGCUGAGGUGCGAAAGCGUGGGGAGCAAACAGGAUUAGAUACCCCGGUAGUCCCA